rnacentral:rRNA from 1 species
GAUGAACGCUGGCGGCGUGCCUAAUACAUGCAAGUCGAGCGAACAGAUAAGGAGCUUGCUCCUUUGACGUUAGCGGCGGACGGGUGAGUAACACGUGGAUAACCUACCUAUAAGACUGGGAUAACUUCGGGAAACCGGAGCUAAUACCGGAUAAUAUAUUGAACCGCAUGGUUCUAUAGUGAAAGAUGGUUUUGCUGUCACUUAUAGAUGGAUCCGCGCCGAAUUAGCUAGUUGGUAAGGUAACGGCUUACCAAGGCAACGAUACGUAGCCGACCUGAGAGGGUGAUCGGCCACACUGGAACUGAGACACGGUCCAGACUCCUACGGGAGGCAGCAGUAGGGAAUCUUCCGCAAUGGGCGAAAGCCUGACGGAGCAACGCCGCGUGAGUGAUGAAGGGCUUCGGAUCGUAAAACUCUGUUAUUAGGGAAGAACAAAUGUGUAAGUAACUAUGCACGUCUUGACGGUACCUAAUCAGAAAGCCACGGCUAACUACGUG